rnacentral:rRNA from 1 species
UACGUAGGUGGCAAGCGUUGUCCGGAUUUACUGGGCGUAAAGGAUGCGUAGGCGGACAUUUAAGUCAGAUGUGAAAUCUCCUGGCUCAACUGGGAGCUUGCAGGCGAAACUGCCGUGCUGGAGUGUGGGAGAGGUGCGUGGAAUUCCCGGUGUAGCGGUGAAAUGCGUAGAUAUCGGAAGGAACACCAGUGGCGAAAGCGGCUUCCUGGUCCAGCACCGACGUUCAGGCACGAAAGCGUGGGGAGCAAACAGG